rnacentral:rRNA from 1 species
UUAAGCAACGGUGCGCUUGAUUAGUACUUGGAUCGGAGACGUCCUUGGAAUCUCAAGUGGCGUACGCA